rnacentral:rRNA from 1 species
CUACGGGGGGCAGCAGUGAGGAAUAUUGGUCAAUGGGCGCGAGCCUGAACCAGCCAUCCCGCGUGCAGGAUGACGGCCCUAUGGGUUGUAAACUGCUUUUCUAUGCCAAGAAACCUGAUUACGUGUAAUCAGUUGCCGGUAGCAUAGGAAUAAGCAUCGGCUAACUCCGUGCCAGCAGCCGCGGUAAUACGGAGGAUGCAAGCGUUAUCCGGAUUCAUUGGGUUUAAAGGGUGCGCAGGUGGGCUUGUAAGUCAGUGGUGAAAUGCUGCCGCUUAACGGUAGAACUGCCAUUGAUACUGCGAGUCUUGAGUAUGGUUGAGGUAGGCGGAAUGUGUUGUGUAGCGGUGAAAUGCAUAGAUAUGACACAGAACGCCAAUUGCGAAGGCAGCUUACUAAGCCAUUACUGACGCUGAGGCACGAAAGCGUGGGGAGCGAACAGGAUUAGAUACCCUUGUAGUC